rnacentral:rRNA from 1 species
GAUGAACGCUGGCGGCGUGCCUAAUACAUGCAAGUCGAGCGAAUGGAUUAAGAGCUUGCUCUUAUGAAGUUAGCGGCGGACGGGUGAGUAACACGUGGGUAACCUGCCCAUAAGACUGGGAUAACUCCGGGAAACCGGGGCUAAUACCGGAUAACAUUUUGAACCGCAUGGUUCGAAAUUGAAAGGCGGCUUCGGCUGUCACUUAUGGAUGGACCCGCGUCGCAUUAGCUAGUUGGUGAGGUAACGGCUCACCAAGGCAACGAUGCGUAGCCCACCUGAGAGGGUGAUCGGCCACACUGGGACUUAGACCCGGCCCAGACUCCUACGGGAGGCAGCAGUAGGGAAUCUUCCGCAAUGGACGAAAGUCUGACGGAGCAACGCCGCGUGAGUGAUGAAGGCUUUCGGGUCGUAAAACUCUGUUGUUAGGGAAGAACAAGUGCUAGUUGAAUAAGCUGGCACCUUGACGGUACCUAACCAGAAAGCCACGGCUAACUACGUGCCAGCCGCCGCAGUAA